rnacentral:lncRNA from 1 species
CUUGACCCUGGAAAGAGAAAGCAGAAAGGACUGGAUGGCCUGAUGUGGACACGCUUCUUGGAAGUGGUGGGCCUUGAGAAGUCAUGUAGGGAGGAUACAGUUGGCUGGCUCUCCAGGCCCGGUGGCAGCAACUCAAUCUAGCUCUGUCCUUGCCUCCACGGAGCCUUCCAUAUAUUGUCAUAGAACCUCCCCCACCGCCAUUGUCUCACUAUCCCAGACUGUUGCUAAGCAAUCAGAGGCUUUGGAGAUUGACCCAGCUCCAGGCACAGGCUCUGAUUGGGCUAAGCCAAUCAUCAUAAUUCCAUCAGACCUUGCCCCAGACCUAAGUCAGUCAGCAUAUGGCUUUCCUUUAGUUCUAGCUAAAGGAACGAGAAUGGACACUUGAUCGAAUUGAGGCCAUAAGAGAUGAGGGAAGAUGCAAGGAGCUUCUGGAAAAGGAAUGACCCCAAGUUUAUCAGAAGGCUCCUGUGGCUCCAGGGUCAACUCUGGGCAUAUCUGACUACAUCACUCCACCCCUACCAUGGUCUCUCCUCUGUACCCCAGCGUUCCAGGUAUUUCCCCUAAGAAAAGGACAGAAGGUCCCCUAAGACCACAGUGACCUGCAGAGAGGGACAAGAAUACAGAUUAUCCACCCAGAAUCACGUUUCUCCCUUUCCAGGGUACUGUCUUCUGAGAGCGCACUUGUCUGCCAACCCCAGUAGCCAGGACUCAGCAUACCUGGCAAACACCUUCAAAACUAGCAAAUCAUGCUGGCUAUCUGCCCCAGGUAGGGCCUUAGCAACUGGCUUCAAGUUGAGAUAAAGUGACAGUGCUUUUCAGGGAUACAGUUUGAAGAUUUCCUGGGCUAUUGUUGCUUCUGGGGUGUUAGGAUUCUAAUAAUUACAACAGGACCCUGUGUAUGUGGUGGGGUUGGAGAGAGCAUCUCAGUACCUCUCCAAGUUCAUCCUCACUAUCUUGAACUGGGGUAUCUUACAUCUCUAUACCAGUGUUUUGCAACCCUGGCUGUACAAACACCAAUGCAGGGGUCUUACCCCUACAGAUUCUGAUUAAUUCAUCUGGUUUGGGGCCUGGGCAUUGGUAUUUGUAAAGUUCUCCAGGUGAUUCUCGUGUGUAGCCAGGGUUGAGAACCACUUUAAGGCCUUUCUGCCUCAGUCAGGGAGGCAAGAGGCUGCAGGUGAUUUUGAGGGAGAAGGGUCAAUAGAGUAAGGGAGGAAGAAACAGGAAACUAGCAGAGUCCCCGGGGGGAGAGAAUGUGUUAUCCUAAAGACCCUUGGUCACAGCCAUGCAGCUGGGCAAACAGAUAACGCCUGGUGGAACAACAGAAGCUGGACCAUGAGAAGGGCAGACAGCAGAAAAUGCCCAGAGAAGGGUUCAAUUUCUUCUUUGGAAGGUGAUGGUAAGGGUGUGGCUCCAGAUUAACUGGUUCUACAGCUCCAGGCAAGGGAGAUGGAAGGCUGAGGGGAGCAGGUCCAUCAGGGAGCAGUUGGGGGAGAACCUAGAGAGGCACUGUCUGUACACUCCAGGGCCAGUGCCCAAGGCCAGAUGCUCCUCAUCUAUUCUCUAAACCACCCCAGGAUCCUCUUGAAGCUUAAGCUAGUUUAGAUUGAGCUUCUGUCACUUUCAACUGAAGCUUGACUAGUAAAAACUCCUGAGGUUAAAGCCUCUAUUGGGUAAAAGAAUUAGAACCAGUGGGAUAGUCCCAGAAAAGAGCUGUGUGGGCUAGGGGCACUGUGAAGACCCAGGGGACAUUGGAACCUGGCCCUGUGCUGUCUUCCAGGAGGAGUGGUACACCCCAGAGAAAUGGCCAGGUACGUGAAACUAAAGAAUCAUGCUUGGAGUGCUGAGAUCCAUUUGUCUGAGCAGGAACACACCCUAAGAUGGGCCUAGGCUGUGGAAGCUGACACUUUCACUGUGGCCAGGCAGCGUGCUCGCUCAUGAAUGGGAGCAGGGUGGGGGAACUUGGCUGUGAGAAUUGGGAGUCCUCCAGUGGUGAGUCUGGGUUCUGGCUGUGGUGGUAAUGGGGUAGGAAACAGGACUUUCAGAACAGCACCCUGGAGUAUCCAUUUGGAAGGAAGUGGAUAAUGCUUUUGGGGGAGAAAGAAAAAUUUGAAAGACAGGUUCUAAUGGGUGGGAGAGGGAAUGUCUGCCUCUUGGGACCAGAUUUGGAGGAAGGCAGGUGUCUGGGUGCCCACUAUAUUGUAGGGGUGGGGAGCUCUGCUCAGGACAGGAACCCUAAAGAACAAGUCAUACCCCUUAAAUCAGAUUUACAUUGAGGGAAAAAAGGAGUUCACUACGAGAGCCUAUCCAAGUCCCUAAACAAACAAGCAAACAACAAAAACAAGCCCGAGAGGGGGGAAGGGAUAUCAGAAUUCAGAGUUACUACAAUAUAUUUCCUAAAAAGUUUAAUUUUCAACAAAAAACCAUGAGAUAUACAAAUAAACAUGACCCAUACAUAGGGGGAAAAAAGCAGACAACAGAAACUGCCUAUGAAAGAGGCCAGAUAUCAGAUUUAACAGACCAAGACUUCAAACCAGCCAUUAAAGCUAUGUUUAAAGAACUAAAGGAAACUAUGAUUUAAAAAAGUAGAAGAAGGUAUGGUGACAAUUUCUCAACAAAUAGAGACUAUCGAUAAGGUAAACCAUUAAAAAAUAAUCCAAUGAAUUCUGGAAUUGCAGAGUAUAAUAAUUGAAACAAAAAAUUCACUAGAGAGGAACAAUAGUGGAUUUGAACUUGCAGAAGAAACGAUCAGCAAACUUGAAGAUAGGCAGUAGAGAUUAUGCAAUCCAAAGAACAAAGAGAAAAAAGAAUGAAGGAAAACAGAGCCUCAAAAAAAGUCGGGGGGCACCAUUAGGCACACCAACAUACUCAUAAUGGGAAUUCCAGAAGGAGAGAUGAGAGAAAAGAGCAGAGAAAGUAAUUGAAGAAGCAAUGGCUGAAAAUUAGCCAAGUUUGAUGAAAAAGAUUAAUCUACACAUUUAAGAAAGCUCAGCAAACUCCAAGUAAGUUAAACACAAAUAUAUCCACACCUAAGCUCAUCAUACUAAAAAUGCUGAGAGACAAAGUUUUCAAAGCAGCAAGAGAAAAAGAACAAAUCACAUUCAAGGGAACCUCAAUAAGAUCAAUAGCUGAAUUCUCAUCAGAAACAAUGGAGGCCAAAAGGUAAUGGGUAACAUAUUCAAAAUGCUGAACAAAAAACAACUCUCAAGAAUUUUAUAUCCAGAAAAGCUAUCUUUGAAAAUAAAGGCAAAAUAAAGACAUUGCCUGACAAACAAAAACUCAGAAAAUUUGUUGCUAGCAUCCCUGCCUUACAAGAAUUACUAAUGGAAGUUCUUCAGACUAGAAGUAAGUGACCCCACACCAUAAUCUGAAUCUUCACAAAAUAAAAACAAAACAAAUCCAAAGAGCACUGGUAAAGAUGACUAUGUAAUUACAAAAACAAUAUAAAUGCAUAUUUCUUCUCCUUCUCUUAACUGACUUAAAAAUAAAUUGUAUAAAACAACA